GACGAACGCUGGCGGCGUGCCUAAUACAUGCAAGUCGAACGCAGUGGGGACGGGUGAGUAACACGUGGGUAACCUCCCAUCAGAGGGGAUAACACUUGGAAACAGGUGCUAAACUGUUACUUAUGGAUGGUCCCGCGGUGCAUUAGGUAGUUGGUGAGGUAACGGCUCACCAAGGCCACGAUGCAUAGCCGGCCUGAGGGGGUGGUCGGCCACACUGGGGCCGGGACACGGCCCAGACUCCGACGGGAGGCAGCAGGAGGGAAUCUUCGGCAAUGGGAGGAAGUCUGACCGAGCAACGCCGCGGGGGUGAAGAAGGUUUUCGGGUCGUAAAACUCUGUUGUUAGGGAAGCGGUAUCUAACCAGAAAGCCACGGCUAACUACGUGCCAGCAGCCGCGGGAAUAC
rnacentral:rRNA from 1 species